GACGAACGCUGGCGGCGUGCCUAAUACAUGCAAGUAGAACGCUGAAGAGAGGAGCUUGCUCUUCUUGGAUGAGUUGCGAACGGGUGAGUAACGCGUAGGUAACCUGCCUUGUAGCGGGGGAUAACUAUUGGAAACGAUAGCUAAUACCGCAUAACAAUGGAUGACACAUGUCAUUUAUUUGAAAGGGGCAAUUGCUCCACUACAAGAUGGACCUGCGUUGUAUUAGCUAGUAGGUGAGGUAAUGGUUCACCUAGGCGACGAUACAUAGCCGACCUGAGAGGGUGAUCGGCCACACUGGGACUGAGACACGGCCCAGACUCCUACGGGAGGCAGCAGUAGGGAAUCUUCGGCAAUGGGGGCAACCCUGACCGAGCAACGCCGCGUGAGUGAAGAAGGUUUUCGGAUCGUAAAGCUCUGUUGUAAGUCAAGAACGGGUGUGAGAGUGGAAAGUUCACACUGUGACGGUAGCUUACCAGAAAGGGACGGCUAACUACGUG
rnacentral:rRNA from 1 species